GACGAACGCUGGCGGCGUGCUUAACACAUGCAAGUCGAGCGGUAAGGCCCUUUCGGGGGUACACGAGCGGCGAACGGGUGAGUAACACGUGGGUGACCUGCCCUCAGCUCUGGGAUAAGCCUGGGAAACCGGGUCUAAUACCGGAUAUGACUCCAUGACGCAUGUUGUGGAGUGGAAAGCCUUGUGCGGCUGAGGAUGGGCCCGCGGCCUAUCAGCUUGUUGGNGGGGUGANGGGCCUACCAAGGCGACGACGGGUAGCCGGCCUGAGAGGGCGACCGGCCACACUGGGACUGAGACACGGCCCAGACUCCUACGGGAGGCAGCAGUGGGGAAUCUUGCGCAAUGGGCGAAAGCCUGACGCAGCGACGCCGCGUGAGGGAUGACGGCCU
rnacentral:rRNA from 1 species